UCUAUUAUAGAAGUUUUGAAAUCAGAAAGUAGUGAGUCCUCCAACUUUGUUCUCCUUUUUCAGGAUUAUUUUGGCUAUUUUGGGUCCCUUACAUUUGCAUAAAAUCUUAGGAUCAGUUUCUUAAUUUCUGUCCAAAAAAGUUAGUUAGGAUUUUGGUAGAAAUCGCUUGGAAUUUAUAAAUCAAUCUGGGGAGUAUUAUCAUCUUAAUAACAUCCUAUGAACAUGGGAUGUCUUUAAUUGAGGUCUUCCUUUUUUUUUUUUUUUUUUUUUUUUUUUGACUCUUUAGAGCUGCACUCAAGGCAUAUGGACGUUCCCAGGCUAAGCGUCCAAUCAGAGCUAUAGCUGCCUGCCUACGCCGCAGCCACAGCAAUACCAGAUCCGAGCCGCGUCUGCAACCUACACUACAGCUCAUGGCAACGCUGGAUCCUCAACCCACUGAGCAAGGCCAGGGAUCGAACCCACAACUUUAGUUGGAUUCCUAGUUGGAUUAAUUUCUGCUGCACCGUGACGGGAACUCCCUGAGGUCUUCCUUAAUUUCUUUAAUGUUUUGUAGUCUUCAGUGUCCAAGUCUUCCAUUGCUUUUAAAAGUUUUAUUCCUGGAGUUCCUGUCAUGGCUCAGUGGUUAACGAAUCUGACUAGGAUCCAGGAGGACGAGGGUUCAAUCCCUGGCCUCGCUCAUUGGGUUAAGGAUCCCGAGUUGCCAUGAGCUGUGGUGUAGGUCAUAGAUGCGGUUCAGAUCCCGCGUUGCUGUGGCUCUGGUGUAGGCUGGUGGCUACAGCUCCGAUUAGACUCCUAGCCUGGGAGCCUCCAUAUGUCCAGGGUGUGGCCCUAGAAAAGACAAAAAAAAAAAAAAGUUUUAUUCCUAAAUAUUGUAUUUUUUGUGGUUGAUAUAAGUAGAAUUAGUUUCUCAAUUUCAUUUUUGGAUUGAAAUGCAAUUUUUUUUGUAUAUUAGUCCUGUAUCCUGCCACCUUGCUAAGCCCAUUUAUUUGGUCUAAUAGUUUGUGUGUGUGUGUGUGUGUGUAACAAGUUCCUUAAGUUUUAUAUACACGUGAUCAUGUCAUCUGCAAGUAGAAGUGAUUUAGUGCUUUCGUUCCAAUCCGGAUGUCUUUUAUUUCUUCUUCUUGCUUAAUUGUCCUGGCUUGAAUGUUUCCUACAAAAAGUUAAAUAGCAAUGUCGUCAUCUUGUUCGUGAUUUUUAGUUUUUUUAAUCUCUGACCAUUAAGUCUGAUGUUAGCUGUGGGGGUUUUGGUAGAUGUUCUUCAUCAGGUUGCAAAACAGCAACGUACGCUUACAUGGUACUUUUCACGUGAUGUCGCUGGCCCAGGGUUUGGCACAGGGUAAGCCAUGAAGAAUGUUGGUUGUCAUCACAGUCACCUCCAUCAGCUGCUUAACCAUUUUCCUUCUGCGGGACAUUUAGAUAUUUCCUCUCUUUGACCAUAUAAAUAACCCCACGAUGAACACCUGUGCUGGUCCCUGUGCUCUUUCAAAACCAAAUAAUAUUUUGCAAUAUAUGGAAUCAAGUCAUUACACUAUACACCUUGAACCUACACAGGACACUGUGUCAAUUAUAGCUCAAUAAAAUUGGGGAAAAAAUAGCAGUCCCCAGACCAAAAUGCUGGAUCACAUCAACCUCAACUUCACUCACAAAGCUUAAGAAUAGGGCAGUUCUGGAGGUCCCGUCAUGGCGCUGUGGUUAAUGAAUCCGACCAGGAACCAUGAGAUUGCGGGUUCGAUCCCUGGCCUUGCUCAGUGGGUUAGGGAUCCGUCGUUGCCAUGAGCUGUGGUGUAGGUUGCAGACUCGCCUCGGAUCCUGCAUUGCUGUGGCUGUGGUGUAGGCUGGUGGCUACAGCUCCGUUUCAACCCCUAGCCUGGGAACCUCCAUAUGCCACGGGAGCAGCCCAAGACAUGGCAAAAAAAAAAAAAAAAAAAGAAUAGGGCAGUUUUACUAAUCCUCUGGCACUAACCUCUUCCAAUCUUCUCCAUAGCUCUCGUGGGUUGGAUUGUAUCCUUCCAAAAAAAGUAUGUUGAGGCUUCCCACUGUGGCUCAGUGGGUGAAGAACCCAACAUAGUUUCCUUGAGGAUGCAGGUUUGAUCCCCGGCCUCCCCGAUUGCCGGUUAAAGAUCCGGCAUUGCUGCAAGCUGUUGGCGUAGUUUGCAGAUGUGGCUCAGAUCUGGUGUUGCUGUGGCUGUGGUGUAGGCCAGCAGCUGCAGCUCUGAUUCGACCCUUAGCCUGGGACCUUCGACCCUUAGCCUGGGCCACAGGUAAAAAAAAAAAAAAAAAAAAAGAUAUGUUGAAAUCUUCAUCCCCAGUACCUUAGAAUGUGACUUUUUUGGGAAACAGGGCCUUCACAGAGGUCGUUAAGGUAAAAUGCUGUCAUUAGGAUGGGCCCUGGUCCAAUAUGACUGCUGUCCUUUGAAAAGGGGGAAAUUUGGACACAGAGACAGACAAGCAUGUUGGAAAGACAGUGUGAAGAGGCACAGGGACGAUGCCACAUGAAAGCAAAAGAAUUGCAAAAAUGAAUGGGUGAACCACCAGCAGCGAGGAGAGAGACCUGGAGCAAAUGCACCCACCCCACCCUUAGAAGGAACCAACCCUGCUGCACCUUGAUCUUGGAUUUCUGGCCUCUACAACAAUGAGACAAUAAGCUUCAGAUCUUUUUAAGGCAGUGUAUGGUAUUUUAUCACAGCAGCCCUGGGAAAUAAACACAAUAAUUAAAGGGGAAAUUGAAGAUAUUGGGGGAGUUCCCAUCAUGGCUCAGUGGUUAACAAACCCAACUAGUAUCCACGAGGACGUGGGUUUGAUCCCUGCCCUUGCUCAGUGGAUUAAGGAUCCGGAUCCAGCGUUACUGUGAGCUGUGGUGUAGGUUGCGGACGUGGCUCAGAUCUGGUGUUGGUGUGGCUGUGGUUUAGGCUGGCAGCUCCAGCUUGAGUUUGAUCCCUAACCUGGGAACCUCCAUAUCCCUCGGGCAUGGCCCUAAAAAGACCAAAAUAAAUAAAUAAAUAAAAAUAUUAGGAGGUGAGGAAAGGAACCCUGACUUCCAAACCUGGGCUUCUCACUCAGAUGCGUUACCCUCGUGUGCACGUUGCUGGUUCUGUUCUGGGCUGUGCGUUAGCUGCUGUCAGCUUUGCGUGCCCAAGGCUGCCUGGAGCCUGCUGUCUCCGAAGCCUGGUAUAAGGCAGACAAGCUGGAACUGGACACAGACUGUGGAGCUGAAACAUGCCAGGGCAGUGGCAAGAGCACUCUGGCCCUGCCCACGCACAUGCCCUCCGAGAUCAUUAUUGUCGCAUAUUUGUGUGGAAAACGAGCUUUUUCAACAUCUUCAGUUGAGAUGUUGAAAGCUGAGCACUGCUUGACUCCCUUUGUUCUAAAUGGAGGAAUUAGGAGUUCUCUUGGGGCCAGUGGGUUGAGGAUCUGGUAUUGUCACUGACGUGCCUUGGGUCACCGCUAUGGUGCACGUUCGAUCCCUGGCCUGGGCAUUUUCAUGUGUGCGUGGGGAAUUACAUUGUGGACAGAGGCCAUGACACUGCCCACUUCCAGGGGGCUCUGUCUGUGCCAGGCCCUGCAAUAAGCCCCUGACUGGGGUCGGGGCAGGAGAGGGGCUGGCUCAUUGAAAGUUUAUAUUAAUGCUUUGAGGUAAGACUAUUAUUAUCUCGCUUUUGCAACAGAGAAAACUUUCCCAGGGCCACACAGCUAGUAAUAGGCAGAGCCAGGAUUUGAACCCAGAGUGGGAGCUCUUAGUUCUUGCACCAUUCAUUCUGUCUGCAAAACUGUUACAGUAAAGUGAAUACAGUGCUUCAGUGGUAAAUUUGGUAACAUACCACCCUAGCAAUGGGCACAGGUUCCCCCCAAGCAACCCACUCUGCCUGGAUGAGCUGAAGGAUGUUUCCUGGCAGGCCAUUCCUUAGCUAAGCCUUGAAAAAAAGAAUUCACUGCCGCUCAGUGGUGGGAAGGUCAUUUCGGGUUUGUGGGAAACCAGGCAGGUGUGAAGUGGCUUGGCCAGCACCCGCCUGUUUGUUCCAGAGGUGAUCUCCUUAAAAUAAUAAAGACCAAGAGCUACAGAGAACAUAGUUCAUCAUCAGGGCCUCUCUGCUCAUUUCAGUUACCGCUGAAAUAACCCUUCUGUAUUUAAAAAAGAACUAUUGGAGUUCCGUCGUGGCGUGGCGGAAAUGAAUCCAAGUAGGAACCAUGAGGUUUCGGGUUCAAUCCCUGGCCUUGCUCAGUGGGUUGAGGAUUCAACGUUGCUAUGAGCUGUGGUACAGGUCGCAGACGCAGCUCCGAUCUGGCGUUGCUGUGGCUGUGGCGUAGGCUGGUGGCUACAGCUCCGAUUAGAUCCCUAGCCUGGGAACCUCCAUAUGCCAUGGGUACGGCCCUAAAAGGACAAAAGAAAAAAAAAACUAUUAAAAAAAAUUGAAUUAGGAGUUCCCGCUGUGGUGCAAUGGGAUCAGCAGCAUCUCUGCGGCACUAGGAUACAGUUUCCGUCCCCAUCACAGUGGGUUAAGGAUCUGGUGUUGCUGCCACUGCAGCAUAGGCUGCAACUGCAGCUCAGAUCUGAUCCCUGGCCUGGGAACUCCAGUUGUCGGGCCCAGACCAAAAGAGAAAAAAAAAUUUUUAAUUAAAAAAGAAAGUGCAUUUAGGGGUUUUCUUGUGGCACCGUGGUUUAAGGAUCUGGCAUUGUCCUUGCAGCAGUUCUGGCCAUUGUUGUGGCACAGGUUCCAUCCCUGGCCCAGGAACUUUCACAUGCUGUGAGCGUGGCCCCCCCAAUUCCAUUUAAAAUAUUUUAUUUAUUUAUUUAUCUUUCGCUUUUUAGGGUUGAACCUUCAGCAUGAGGAAGUUCCUGGGCUAGGAGUCGAAUCAGAGCUGCAGCUGCUGGCCUACGUCACAGCCACAGCAACAGUGGAUCCUUAACCCACUGAGCGAGGCCAGGGAUUGAACCCACAUCCCCAUGGAUACUAGUUGGGUUCAUAACCCCGUAAGCCACAACGGGUCUCCUUGAAAUAUUUUAAAAAUAAGUAUUAUCGGGAUUUCCCAUUGUGGCUCAAAGG
rnacentral:lncRNA from 1 species